UAGGGAAUCUUCGGCAAUGGACGAAAGUCUGACCGAGCAACGCCGCGUGAGUGAAGAAGGUUUUCGGAUCGUAAAACUCUGUUGUUAGAGAAGAACAAGGACGUUAGUAACUGAACGUCCCCUGACGGUAUCUAACCAGAAAGCCACGGCUAACUACGUGCCAGCAGCCGCGGUAAUACGUAGGUGGCAAGCGUUGUCCGGAUUUAUUGGGCGUAAAGCGAGCGCAGGCGGUUUCUUAAGUCUGAUGUGAAAGCCCCCGGCUCAACCGGGGAGGGUCAUUGGAAAGUGGGAGACUUGAGUGCAGAAGAGGGGAGUGGAAUUCCAUGUGUAGCGAGGAAAUGCGUAGAUAUAUGGAGGAACACCAGUGGCGAAGGCGGCUCUCUGGUAUGUAACUGACGCUGAGGCUCGAAAGCGUGGGGAGCAAACAGG
rnacentral:rRNA from 1 species